rnacentral:rRNA from 1 species
GGGGGAUAACACUUGGAAACAGGUGCUAAUACCGCAUAACCAUAGUUACCGCAUGGUAACUAUGUAAAAGGUGGCUAUGCUACCGCUUUUGGAUGGGCCCGCGACGCAUUAGCUAGUUGGUGGGGUAAAGGCUUACCAAGGCAAUGAUGCGUAGCCGAACUGAGAGGUUGAUCGGCCACAUUGGGACUGAGACACGGCCCAAACUCCUACGGGAGGCAGCAGUAGGGAAUCUUCCACAAUGGGCGAAAGCCUGAUGGAGCAACGCCGCGUGGGUGAAGAAGGUCUUCGGAUCGUAAAACCCUGUUGUUAGAGAAGAAAGUGCGUGAGAGUAACUGUUCACGUUUCGACGGUAUCUAUCCAGAAAGCCACGGCUAACUACGUGCCAGCAGCCGCGGUAAUACGUAGGUGGCAAGCGUUAUCCGGAUUUAUUGGGCGUAAAGAGAACGCAGGCGGUCUUUUAAGUCUGAUGUGAAAGCCUUCGGCUUAACCGGAGUAGUGCAUUGGAAACUGGGAGACUUGAGUGCAGAAGAGGAGAGUGGAACUCCAUGUGUAGCGGUGAAAUGCGUAGAUAUAUGGAAGAACACCAGUGGCGAAAGCGGCUCUCUGAUCUGUAACUGACGCUGAGGUUCGAAAGCGUGGGUAGCAAACAGGAUUAGAUACCCUGGUAGUCCACGCCGUAAAC